UACGAAGGGGGCUAGCGUUGCUCGGAAUCACUGGGCGUAAAGGGUGCGUAGGCGGGCUUCUAAGUCAGAGGUGAAAGCCCGGAGCUCAACUCCGGAAUUGCCUUUAAGACUGCAUCGCUAGAAUCAUGGAGAGGUGAGUGGAAUUCCGAGUGUAGAGGUGAAAUUCGUAGAUAUUCGGAGGAACACCAGUGGCGAAGGCGGCUCACUGGUCCAUUACUGACGCUGAGGUGCGAAAGCGUGGGGAGCAAACAGG
rnacentral:rRNA from 1 species